UCUGUCUCAUCCAUUUAAACAUGUAUGUACUUGGUUGUGAUUGUAUUAAUCUUGAAUGAAUUUCUUCAUAGACAUGUUAUAAUGCAUGAUAAAUUCAAGCCUUUCAAUUUGAAUCCCUUCUUCUCAAACCUAGAAAUAUAUCUCCUACCUGUAACAAACCUAAGAGGUAAAAAAUUUAAAUUUCAAAAGCACUGCAUUGUAAAUGAAACUACCUGGUGGUGAUGAAUCUAGUGACGAAGAACUUAUUUUCUUCCAUGUUUUCCAAAUACAAUCAAAUACAUAUGCAUCAUAGUCCAUCAAAUGAAUGGAAUUGGUUAUCCAUGGGGAGAAGAUAUUAU
rnacentral:lncRNA from 1 species